UAGGCCUAACACAUGCAAGUCGAGGGGGAAGCCAUCUUCGGGUGGUGGAGACCGGCGCACGGGUGAGUAACGCGUGGGAAUUUACCUUGGAGUGGGGAAUAACCGCUGGAAACGGCGGCUAAUACCGCAUACGCCCUUUUGGGGAAAGCUUUAGCGCUCUGGGAUGAGCCCGCGUUAGAUUAGGUAGUUGGUGGGGUAAAGGCCUACCAAGCCGACGAUCUAUAGCUGGUCUGAGAGGAUGAUCAGCCACACUGGGACUGAGACACGGCCCAGACUCCUACGGGAGGCAGCAGUGGGGAAUAUUGGACAAUGGGGGCAACCCUGAUCCAGCCAUGCCGCGUGCGUGAAGAAGGCCUUAGGGUUGUAAAGCGCUUUCACUGGUGAAGAUGAUGACGGUAGCCAGAGAAGAAGCCCCGGCUAACUCCGUGCCAGCAGCCGCGGUAAUACGGAGGGGGCAAGCGUUGUUCGGAAUUACUGGGCGUAAAGGGCGCGUAGGCGGGAAGUCAAGUUAGGGGUGAAAGGCCUGGGCUCAACCUAGGAACUGCCUCUAAAACUGGCAAUCCAGAGUCCGGGAGAGGAUAGCGGAAUUCCCAGUGUAGAGGUGAAAUUCGUAGAUAUUGGGAAGAACACCAGUGGCGAAGGCGGCUAUCUGGUCCGGCACUGACGCUGAGGCGCGAAAGCGUGGGGAGCAAACAGGAUU
rnacentral:rRNA from 1 species